CACACAAGCGAUAUCUACUGUAGAAUGUAUUAUUGGGUGAUAAAGUUUAGUAAACGUGUUGGUAAUUUACAUUCUUCAAGGAUAAGCUGUUUUUGUUUAAAAUACACGUGAGUGGAAAAUUACUAAUUAGCCCACGUCAUUCGGCACCUAUAAGAGAGAGCGGGGCUAGAAUAAUUUUAGACAUCAUUUAGAUUCUUUAAAGUCAAACACACAUUGGGUUCUUUAGACGACCAUUUCAUGAUGUAGUGGUUUUCUGAGUCCCGCCACGCUAGUUAGACUUUUAGAGUUGGGGUUGAGAGAAAGAGAUGUUAAAUUUAAACAUUGAAAUAUAGACUAUUGUGUAACUGUUAUGACAUAAAACGAAUAGAAAACAACUAUUUUGGUUCCUAUUAGAUCUACAUGUAUUAUUGUUUGAUAACUAUAUAUUAAUUUAAUAUGUCUCUCAUAAUGCCAAACAGUUAAGGGGAGGUAACUCCAAUUAUGGUAAAUUGCACUAAGCCUCGAUAUGAAUAGAGGAAGUAAGGCACCUCGUGAUUUUUGGUUUUUACUUGGUAAUGGCAGCAUGAAGCCCAUAUUAGUACCUAUGAUUAAUACAGUAUAAGUUUUAAUAAGUUAAGAAUGAAGAUUCAUUUGUUUAAUCAAGUUAUAGGAAUGCUUAAUGUGUUUAAACCGUAUUCGUAUUCAUAAUCUUAAUCGUAACAUCAUAAGUCAUAACGUAAUCGCAACCUAUCAAAAUCUAAUUAUAAUCAUAUGUUACCACCGUACAGUUCAACAAAUCAUGUAUUCAAACCCAGAAUCAUCUAAUAGUUAUAUAAAGAACAUUUAUUUAAUUGACGUGUUGACACUUUAUUCCUUUCCUAAACAACAAGAACAAGGCCACAUUCUAGUAGCAUGAAAAGCGGCAGCUACAGUUCCUGUUACAUAUAUGAUUUCGGUAUCGUGACAAAACUCAAUGGUGAAAUCCUUAAGAAGUGAGAUACAACAGUAGCCAGUCCUGAGUCAAACCAACCCCUAGACGAUCAGGUCAAAUCAAAGAUAUGUGGCAGUGGUAGUGCUACAUUAACCAUAAAAUUUAUUAACAUUGUUGCUUUUAAACAUGUGUACGAUACCGCUUUUGUUAUUUCUUUUUUAAAAAUAAACAAAACCAAUAUUG